UUUCAUCAGAAAAACUGAAGAAAUAAAAGUGUAAGACAUACCUCACUUAUAAGGACCUGAAUGAGACAACUUGUGAAAGAGCUAAGAGGUUUGCUUGGUUAUGCCAUGGUCCCCAAGUUCUUCAAGUAAGAGAUGAGCCAAUAAGGUGAACCAGAUGUAGGUGGAACACUUCUAAGCAAUCUUCACGGCGUAUAACCCGUAUUACCUAGUCUGCCGGCCAGAUGUUUGAUGUGGCCAUGAGUGAAUCCUGCUGCAGACUCGGCCAUCACGACAAUAUGCAGCAUUACUGGACUGCAGAAGUGACUUCCUUUGUAAUCACAGGGCAAGCUUUGUCAGACACCUUAA